GGUUGGGGGAGAAUGGGUCGAUCCCCUUACAAUUAUAUCGUCCGCAUCUCCUUGUAAUGCCUCGGUCCUCUUCUCUAAAAAUGAGUGGGAAAGGGUGGACACAACGCGGAAAUUCAAAGGGGACAAGGUUCUAGUCCUAUCUUGACUAAAGGUGGCCUUCUCAUGGCAAAGUAGUCUUUGUGAUGUGGUUGCGGGCUGGACGAUGACGUCCAUCCUGUAGCACUAAUCCGUUCUGAUCCUUUAUCACCAAAUUAGUAAGGUU
rnacentral:lncRNA from 1 species